AACAAUUACGUCCAUAACUAAAUCCGCAGCAGUGACACAUACGUUGUUGUGGUAUUCAAUUGGACUACAUCAAAGCCCAUGAUUUACUAUUCCUCUUAAGGGCAUUGGAUAAAAUAUGCACACCUUAAUAAAGUCAAAAAUCAACAAAACAACAAC
rfam:Drosophila grimshawi strain TSC#15287-2541.00 scaffold_14853 genomic scaffold, whole genome shotgun sequence.